rnacentral:rRNA from 1 species
GACGAACGCUGGCGGCGUGCUUAACACAUGCAAGUCGAGCGGUAAGGCCCUUUCGGGGGUACACGAGCGGCGAACGGGUGAGUAACACGUGGGUGACCUGCCCUCAGCUCUGGGAUAAGCCUGGGAAACCGGGUCUAAUACUGGAUAUGACUCCAUGACGCAUGUUGUGGGGUGGAAAGCCUUGUGCGGCUGAGGAUGGGCCCGCGGCCUAUCAGCUUGUUGGUGGGGUGANGGCCUACCAAGGCGACGACGGGUAGCCGGCCUGAGAGGGCGACCGGUCACACUGGGACUGAGACACGGCCCAGACUCCUACGGGAGGCAGCAGUGGGGAAUAUUGGACAAUGGGCGAAAGCCUGAUCCAGCGACGCCGCGUGUGUGAAGAAGGCCUGCGGGUUGUAAAGCACUUUCGA